GAUGAACGCUGGCGGCGUGCCUAAUACAUGCAAGUCGAGCGAACGGACGAGAAGCUUGCUUCUCUGAUGUUAGCGGCGGACGGGUGAGUAACACGUGGAUAACCUACCUAUAAGACUGGGAUAACUUCGGGAAACCGGAGCUAAUACCGGAUAAUAUUUUGAACCGCAUGGUUCAAAAGUAAAAGACGGUCUUGCUGUCACUUAUAGAUGGAUCCGCGCUGCAUUAGCUAGUUGGUAAGGUAACGGCUUACCAAGGCAACGAUGCAUAGCCGACCUGAGAGGGUGAUCGGCCACACUGGAACUGAGACACGGUCCAGACUCCUACGGGAGGCAGCAGUAGGGAAUCUUCCGCAAUGGGCGAAAGCCUGACGGAGCAACGCCGCGUGAGUGAUGAAGGUCUUCGGAUCGUAAAACUCUGUUAUUAGGGAAGAAUAUAUGUGUAAGUAACUGUGCACAUCUUGACGGUACCUAAUCAGAAAGCCACGGCUAACUACGUGCCAGCAGCCGCGGUAAUACGUAGGUGGCAAGCGUUAUCCGGAAUUAUUGGGCGUAAAGCGCGCGUAGGCGGUUUUUUAGUCUGAUGUGAAAGCCCACGGCUCAACCGUGGAGGGUCAUUGGAAACUGGAAAACUUGAGUGCAGAAGAGGAAAGUGGAGUUCCAUGUGUAGCGGUGAAAUGCGCAGAGAUAUGGAGGAACACCAGUGGCGAAGGCGACUUUCUGGUCUGUAACUGACGCUGAUGUGCGAAAGCGUGGGGAUCAAACAGGAUUAGAUACCCUGGUAGUCCACGCCGUAAACGAUGAGUGCUAAGUGUUAGGGGGUUUCCGCCCCUUAGUGCUGCAGCUAACGCAUUAAGCACUCCGCCUGGGGAGUACGACCGCAAGGUUGAAACUCAAAGGAAUUGACGGGGACCCGCACAAGCGGUGGAGCAUGUGGUUUAAUUCGAAGCAACGCGAAGAACCUUACCAAAUCUUGACAUCCUUUGACAACUCUAGAGAUAGAGCCUUCCCCUUCGGGGGACAAAGUGACAGGUGGUGCAUGGUUGUCGUCAGCUCGUGUCGUGAGAUGUUGGGUUAAGUCCCGCAACGAGCGCAACCCUUAAGCUUAGUUGCCAUCAUUAAGUUGGGCACUCUAAGUUGACUGCCGGUGACAAACCGGAGGAAGGUGGGGAUGACGUCAAAUCAUCAUGCCCCUUAUGAUUUGGGCUACACACGUGCUACAAUGGACAAUACAAAGGGCAGCGAAACCGCGAGGUCAAGCAAAUCCCAUAAAGUUGUUCUCAGUUCGGAUUGUAGUCUGCAACUCGACUACAUGAAGCUGGAAUCGCUAGUAAUCGUAGAUCAGCAUGCUACGGUGAAUACGUUCCCGGGUCU
rnacentral:rRNA from 1 species